rnacentral:rRNA from 1 species
GAUGUACGCUAGCUACAGGCUUAACACAUGCAAGUCGAGUGACCGGCGCCCGGGUGAUUAACACGUAUCCAUCCUCCCCUUUACUCGGCCAUAGCCUUUCGAAAGCAAGAUUAAUACCCGUUAUAACGGAUUGGGAUGCUUUCCAUUAUGUUGUUGGUGAGGUAACGGCUCACCAAGCCUUCGAUGGAUAGUGUUUCUGAGAGGAAGGUCCCCCACAGUAGAACUGGGACGCGGUCCAAACUCCUACGGGAGGCAGCAGUGAGGAAUAUGGGACAAAGGGCGCUAGCAUGAAACAGCCAAGAAGAGGGAAGGAUGAAGGCUUAUGGGGCGUAAACUUCUUUUAGAUGAGAAGAGGUAUUAUAUGAAUAAAGAAUGGCUAACUACGUGAGAGCAGCCGCGGUAAUUC